rnacentral:rRNA from 1 species
AACGAACGCUGGCGGCAGGCUUAACACAUGCAAGUCGAGCGCCCCGCAAGGGGAGCGGCAGACGGGUGAGUAACGCGUGGGAAUCUACCCAUCUCUACGGAAUAACGCAUGGAAACGUGUGCUAAUACUGUAUACGUCCUUCGGGAGAAAGAUUUAUCGGAGAUGGGUGAGCCCGCGUUGGAUUUGCUAGUUGAUGGGGUAAAGGCCUACCAAGGCGACGAUCCAUAGCUGGUCUGAGAGGAUGAUCAGCCACACUGGGACUGAGACACGGGCCAGACUCCUACGGGAGGCAGCAGUGGGGAAUAUUGGACAAUGGGCGCAAGCCUGAUCCAGCCAUGCCGCGUGAGUGAUGAAGGCCCUAGGGUUGUAAAGCUCUUUCACCGAUGAAGAUAAUGGCGGUAACCGGAGAAGAAGCCCCGGCUAACUUCGUGCCAGCCGCCGCGGUAACAC